rnacentral:rRNA from 1 species
UACGUAGGUGGCAAGCGUUGUUCGGAAUUACUGGGCGUAAAGCGCGCGUAGGCGGCUCUUCAAGUCAGGCGUGAAAGCCCCGGGCUUAACUCGGGAACUGCGCUUGAUACUGUCGAGCUAGAGUGUGGAAGGGGCGAUUGGAAUUCCGUGUGUAGCGGUGAAAUGCGUAGAUAUACGGAGGAACACCAGGGGCGAAGGCGGAUCGCUGGGCCAACACUGACGCUGGAUGCGCGAAAGCUAGGGGAGCAAACGGG